CUACGGGAUGCUGCAGUGAGGAAUAUUGCGCAAUGGGGGAAACCCUGACGCAGCGACGCCGCGUGGAUGAUGAAGGCCUUAGGGUCGUAAAAUCCUGUCAGGUGGGAAGAAGUGAAUAUAGAUUAAUACUCUAUUUCUUUGACGGUACCACCAAAGGAAGCACCGGCUAACUCCGUGCCAGCAGCCGCGGUAAUACGGAGGGUGCAAACGUUGUUCGGAAUUACUGGGCGUAAAGCGCGCGUAGGCGGUUUGUUAAGUCAGAUGUGAAAGGCCAUGGAUCAACUAUGGAAGUGCAUUUGAAACUGGCAGACUUGAGUACUGGAGGGGGUGAUGGAAUUCCCGGUGUAGAGGUGAAAUUCGUAGAUAUCGGGAGGAAUACCGGUGGCGAAGGCGAUCACCUGGCCAGAUACUGACGCUGAGGUGCGAAAGCGUGGGGAGCAAACAGGAUUAGAUACCCGAGUAGUC
rnacentral:rRNA from 1 species